AAAGUCAGUUGUAUCUGAUGGUGUUUUGC
rnacentral:piRNA from 1 species